AGUGGCGCACGGGUGAGUAACACGUAAGUAAUCUACCCUCGAGUGGGGAAUAACGUCCGGAAACGGACGCUAAUACCGCAUAAUGCAGCGGCACCGCAAGGUGACAGUUGUUAAAGGAGUAAUUCGCUUGAGGAGGAGCUUGAGGCAGAUUAGCUUGUUGGUAAGGUAACGGCUUACCAAGGCUACGAUCUGUAACCGGUCUAAGAGGACGGUCGGUCACACUGACUCUGAAUAACGGGUCAGACUCCUACGGGAGGCAGCAGUCGGGAAUUUUGGGCAAUGGGCGAAAGCCUGACCCAGCAACGCCGCGUGAAGGAUGAAGUAUUUCGGUAUGUAAACUUCGAAAGAAUAGGAAGAAUAAAUGACGGUACUAUUUAUAAGGUCCGGCUAACUACGUGCCAGCAGCCGCGGUAAUACGUAGGGACCAAGCGUUGUUCGGAUUUACUGGGCGUAAAGGGCGCGUAGGCGGCUUGACAAGUCACUUGUGAAAUCUCCGGGCUUAACUCGGAACGGCCAAGUGA
rnacentral:rRNA from 1 species